UCACAGAAUAAUUUCAGCACACAAAGCUGCACAUUUUUUGCCUCAAACUAAACAUACCCAGUACCUCAAUUGCACACAAAGCUGCACAAAACAGCUCAAAAUUCCAAUCCAACAAAAAUAAGAGAUAAAAAGAUCCCAACUUUCACAAUCCAAAAACAUAUGGUACACACAGUAAUGUCCAAACUCCAAAGUAAUAGUUCAAAUACAUUGUGAGAAUUAGUAUAUGAAAAUGAGUCUUGACGGGCACAGUCGUGGGGACGUGACCGCGUAAGUCGUGAGGCGGAGAACUGGUUAGGGCUUGACUGCUUAAGCCGUGUGGCCAGUGGUGGACUGGCGAAGAACUGGCGAGGUCUGACUUCUGAGGUGAGGACUGAGGGUGAGGAACUGAGUGAGUGAGGCGUCUGACGGAGAAAGCACAAUUAGUAUAUGAAAAUGAAACCCUAAUAUUAGAGAAAACGACAUAAAUCGUCCCUCAUCUUUCAGAGUAGGUUUAUGAUAGUCCCUCAAAUAUACACUUACUGUUUUUAAUCCUUUAAGUAUUCAAAAACUUAUCAAUUUUAGUCUCCGUUUAAUUUUAACCAAGCACCGUUAGUUUAUUUUAACAGCUAGCCCACUUAAGCCUCACCUCACCUGACCUUCAGAACAUCAAAAACUCAGUCUUUCCCCAUUCUUUCUCUCUCCCUGUUUCUUUUCCCCCAAAAUUACUCUUCUAAAAAAAGCCCUAACCUCAAAUCUACCAAGUGUGAUUUAGUGAAAGGAAUCUAAGAAAAUGAUCUUGCGAAUUGAAGGUGGUACAACUCCUUUUUAUGGUGAGUUUUCAGUAUUAGUGAUGUGGGGCUUUGUUUAGUGUUGAAGAAGAUUUUCAUAUGUAUUUCUCUAUUGGGAAAUCUCCAUGUAAAUUUACUUUGUCUCUAUUUUUUAGCUUUAUCAUCUAUAUCAUAUUCUUUACAUCUUUAGUGCUUUUGUUCAUUGCUAGAAAUUGUUCAGAUACCAAGCAAAUUGCGUGCAUGUAGGCUUUUUAUUAGUUUAUUUCUACCUAUGCGUCUCCAUCUUUAUGUGCUUUUUUAUAUUGCUGGGAAUGGUCAAAAAGUUAUAAUGUUAAGUGUAUCCUUGAAUCUUGCUUUUCAAUUUUCAUAAUAUAGUAAAAUAUACUAGUUGAUAUGAAAAGAAAAAUAAAUCUUUCUUUCUCUGUGUUGUUUAUCAGACCCUAUACAAGAUGCAUUAAAGAUUAGCAUCAAAGUAAACCACAGCGGUGUUAUGAAACAUCAUCCUCGAAGACAUUAUGUUGGGGGUCUUGAACAAUUUAUCGACUAUAUUGAUAUUCCAGAAAUGCAGCUAUCACAAUUCUAGACUAUGGCUGCGAUAUGUGGAUAUGAUAAUGAUUCGGUCGCAUUUUGGCAUAAGUAUGGUAGGUUCGUUGUGAGGGUUAGAAUGAAAAUGAUAAUGAUUUUGAGGACUCGGAUAAUGAUUUUGAGGAUGAAAAUUAUAUCUUAAAAAGGCGUAGAAAUACGGAACAUAGAUAUGAGGUUAGCGAAGAAGUUUGAAAAAAGAUGGCUAAUGAAGAAGGAGAUUCUGAUUGUGUUAACUCUGAGGUGUUUAAGAGCUUGGAAAGUGAUCCUGAUUCUAACAGUCUAAACUUUCCUAAGUUCAAUUAACAGAUAGGCUACAUCCCGUCUUAGCACCCGAAAUGACAUUCGAAAAUAAAAAGGAGUUCAAAAAUGCUGUGACUACUCAUGAAGUUAAUCAAGGUAAGUAUAUAGAAUGGUGCAAGAAUGAUAGAGAAAGGAAAAGAGCAAAAUGUGUGAAACCGGAUUGCAAUUUGGGGGAUUAUGGCUUCUAAAAUGUAAAUAUAUAAUUCCACCCAUGAUUGUAAGAAUUGGAAUUAUUAUAACAAUAAUAUCACAUCUUCAUUCAUUGCUACAAGAUAUCUUGAUGCCAUAAAAUCAAAUAGGAAUUGGAAGAUCUCCGCAUUUAGAGAUCAUGUGAGUGUACAAGAGCACAUGUGACUUUAUCUAAAUGUAGAAGGGCAAUGAAGAAGGCUAUUGCAAUUAUUGAUGGAGAUAUUUCUGAUCAAUUCAAUGUGCUAUGGAAUUAUUGUAAUGAAAUAGUAAGAACAAAUCCAAAUACUUUUGUUUACAUGAAGUUGGUCAAAUAUGAGGAUCCUAGCAAGCCUAAAGAUUUCAGAGAUUCUAUAUUUGUUUUAGUGCUUGCAAAGAAGGUUUCAAGAGUGGUUGCAGAAGAAUAGUUGGAGUGGAUGGUUGUUGGCUCAGUCCAAUGUACGGUACUCAAUUAUUAACUGCUAUUGGGCUUGAUCCUACUAAUAAUAUAUAUCCGAUAGCAUAUGCAAUUGUGGAGAAAGAAUGUCGCGAGUCAUGGUCAUGGUUUCUAAAUCAUUUAAAGCUUGACUUGGAGAUAGAUGAUGGAGCUAAUUGGACCUUCAUGUCAGAUAAGCAAAAAAGUUUGAUAGAAGCAUUUAAUGAGGUAUUACCAUUUGUGGCACAUAGAUUUUGUGUGAGACACUUGCAUAAUAACUUUAAGAGAGCGGGAUUUAGUGGUAACACAUUGAGAAAUGCACUGUGGAAAACUGUUAGUGCAACAACAGUAAAGUGGUUUGAUAAAUGUAUGCUUGAAAUAAUUGAUUUAGACCCCGCAGCUGCUUCUUGGUUGAGAGAUAAGUCACCUAGUGAAUGGUCUAGAUCUCACUUUUCUGAAACUGUGAAAUGUGAUACUUUAUUGAAUAAGAUGUGUGAAUCUUUUAAUAACAUGAUAUUGGAGGCGAGGGGUAAGCCUAUUGUCACUCUUUUGGAUAAAAUUCGAUAUCUACUUAUGACAAUAAUGCAAGCAAAUAGGGAUAAAUCUGGCAUGUGGAGUUCUGAUGAUAUUUGCCCCAGGAUUAAGGAUGUGUUGCACAAAAGUCAAGUUGUUGCUGCUGAAUAUAUUCCUAGAAAGGCAAACCAGUGGAACUAUGAGCUUAUAGGAGCUAGCGUAACUGAUAAUUGGGCUAUGGACUUACUAAAUAGAAAAUGUAGCUGUAGAAAAUGGGAUUUGACAGGAAUUCCUUGCAAGCAUGCCAUAGCUGCAAUUUGGGCUAAAAAUGAUGACAUUAAUUCUUAUGUUGAUGACUGUUAUAAGGUGGACACCUACAGAAGAAUCUAUGAAUUUGCCAUUCUUCCUAUGAAUGGUCAAAACAUGUGGCCACAACAUCAUAGUAUUCCUCCUUUACCUCCAAAAAUAGUAAGACAAAGUACUAAAGGGAGAAAACAGAAGUUAAGGAGAAAAGAACCAGAUGAAGCGGGAGCAAGCAGGACAAAAAUGAGAAGAAAGCAGAAAACUUUAGGAUGCAGUAUAUGUCACAAUACUGGACACAACAAAAGGACUUGCAAGUAUAAUUUGGGACAGAUUGAUUCUGAGAAUGUUACUCAGCAAUUCAGGGAAUCGUCUUCAUCAUGUCCCAACAAAAUUACCAGUAAUUUCUUGUUUAACUUACAGUCAAAUAAUUAUGUUCAACUUGUGUAAUGAUAUUAUUUAUUUAUCCAGGUUCGAAGAGUUCCAGAGACCCAAGCUAAUAUGCACUCAACUCAACAAAGUGAAGUGCUCCAGUUUACUGCAGAUUUUGCAGUUUAGUUGCUGAUUUUUGGCAUUGUUUGGUGCUGGUUCUGGUGCAGUGCGAUGCUCAUUUUUUGUGUAGUUCAGUGGCAGACUUUGGCGUGUUUUGGUGCUGGUUCUGGUGUAGUGUGGUGCUCAUUUUCUGUGCAGUUCAGUUGCUGAUUUUUGCUACAGUUUGGUUGCUGUUUUCUGCAAUUUGAUGCUGGUUUUUCUAGUUUUAUGCUGUUUUUUGGUAAUUUUGUGCAGUUUUCUGCAGUUUCGUUAAUGUAAUGACAUUUUAUUAACAUUAAAAUGACACUAUAUUUUGGCUCAAUUGUGUUCUUUAUUUUACAGCAAUAUUUUUGCA
rnacentral:lncRNA from 1 species